rnacentral:rRNA from 1 species
UACGUAGGUGGCAAGCGUUGUCCGGAUUUAUUGGGUUUAAAGGGUGCGUAGGUGGGUUGGUAAGUCAGUGGUGAAAUCUCCAGGCUUAACUUGGAAACUGCCAUUGAUACUAUCAAUCUUGAAUACCGUGGAGGUCAGCGGAAUAUGUCAUGUAGCGGUGAAAUGCUUAGAUAUGACAUAGAACACCAAUUGCGAAGGCAGCUGGCUACACGAAUAUUGACACUGAUGCACGAAAGCGUGGGGAUCAAACAGG